rnacentral:lncRNA from 1 species
UGUCGGGUCCCAAAACACGUGGUCUAAAGUCUUUUGGGCUCCUGCCGCUGCCAGCACUGACGAUAUGCUCUUGACCCUGGUCGGGUGGGGGGAUGUCUGGAUACCUCCUCUGUGGAAAGAACUGGCCACACAUCCGCAGAGGUGACUCGGGCUGAGAACCCAGGCUCCUCCUCCCUUUGGUGACACGCCCCUCGGUCCCUCACUGGCACUUCUCCCUCCGGCCACACGGCGGCGUCUCGCCGUAGCGCAGCGGCCGAUGGUACAGCCCGCUCCCCCCUCGCGCUCUCGGACAGUGGGUCCUUCCACUUGUAGAAAAGCAUUGUGGGACGGAAACCUGUCCUUUCUUCCCUUUGGUGCGAGCUUGGUGUGGUUUUUGCUCUGGGUCCUCAGGUAUGGCGCCUGGCUGUGGCCGCGUGGUCUCUCACGCAGGGGCGCCGGGCGGGGGAACGCGGCCACCCUGAGUCUGGUGAGUCGACUGCAGCGGCCUGUGUCCGAAGUGUCCGGGGCCGUGAACAAGGGCAGCGGCCUGGCCUCAGGCCUGCGUCCCCACGUUUGGAAACGGGGAGCUUCGUGGAUUUGUGUUUACAUCGUCGACUAUGCCAGGGAGUUCUCCAGAUAAGCCUGGUUUUAUUUUCGUCAGUGAAAAGGCCUUACCGUAUAACUGACUUUAUGCUUGCCCUGCCCCCGUGUAAAAUAACUUAAAAGCAGCGUGCCUGGUUACAGCUGUUUCCACGUGCGGUGCUCGUCGGGAGUGAUCACCUACCCUACAGGUGGAAGAUGGAUGCCUGAAGUGUAGACUGCUGCUAGCUGAAUACCAUCUGGGAGCAUAAAGAUGACCUGAAGGAUGUCCUUGGUGAGGAUUUUGAAAAUUUGAUCUUCACAAGAGUUGCUUGGAUCAUUUGAAAUUUCUGGGAGUCUGAGGAGUACUGACAUAAUUGCCUGCUGGAGUCUGUAAAUACACAUUUAAGACAGUGAGGAUGUGAAUAAAUAUAUUAAUGCACUUUGGCAUUUGUGUUUUAAGUGAUUAACUGCCAGAAAUAGCUAUUUCUAAAAAGUUAUAAGGGAGGAGGGGUUCUUUUUUGAUCAGUAUUCACUGCUGUCACCAUAAUUAAUAGCCUUAAAAUAGCUUGUGUUUGGCCCAAAGAGAAAUGUACUUUCUUCCAGUGACUCAAAAAUCGUGGCUAGAACUAGACUGAUUUCUAGUGACAGGUGUGCUUUACUGCACUCAAUGCGUAUUUUUCCUCCAACUAAAUUGUACAUUUAAUGUUGCCAUAUCUUCUGCCUUUGCUUUGCAGGAAAUGACAAAUAAUGUAUAGAGGUAUUCAAAAAAUUUAUUGAAAGCACUGUACUAGGAGCUGAGAACACGAUGAUGAGCACAACACAGUUCUUCCCUUUGGAAACAUAGAUGAGUGGAGGGAAUGUCAUCACAAAUGUAAAACUUCACUAUGAGAUGAGUUCCGUGAUAGGAUUUUCUUAGGGAAACCUGAGAAAGAGUUGAGACUAAAGGUAUGUGUCAUAUUUUUCACAAGGCAAAACUGGGGGAAUGACAUAUACAGAGGCUUGGGCUAGAAAAAAGAUACCGUUAGUCCACUUACUUUUGAGACAGUUUUGGCUGCUUUCCCUCUUCAGUGCCUUGUUUUAGAACUGAGUCCUUACUGAGGCUUGUAAGAUGGCUAUUAUGGGAGGUGAGAGUGUUACAAAAUGAGGCUGAAGAGGUAGGUAAAGAAGCCAGACCACUUCAGGCUCCCUCUGGCUUUAUUAAAGCAAGAUAAAUCCAUGGUGGAAAAUCAGAUUUGCAAGAAAAGGUAGUUGAACUAGGUUGCUUAUUGUUGUCUAGACAAGAGACCAGCUUGGACUAGUAAAAUUAGUGAAAUAAGAUCGUUUAUAGUUGGAUGACAGAGCCAACUAGACGUGGUAAUAGUGGAGGUGUCCAUAACUGCUAGGUGUCCAGCUUGCACACUGAUGAGCAUAAUGACCCUAGAUUCAGCUGGGGAGCAGCAUUUAAACAGCUGAAUUUUUAAAUUACCUUUGAGAAAUCCAAGUGGUCUUUUUGCAGUAGCACAUUACUCAGUAGUCUAAACUACAGAAAUAAACCUUAAGGCCAUGGGUAUAAAUGAGAUCUGCUGGUGGUAGAGGAAGAGGGCCUAGGGUCUGAAGUUUGAGAAACUCCACUAAUUAAUGGCAAGGUAAAGCAUGAUAAGCCAGAAAGGAUGGUCAGUGGUAGGAGCAAAACAGGAUUAUAUUAAAGAAGCAAAAGAAUGUCCUAAAAAUUCUCCCUGGGAUUAAGUAACACAGUGAUUGAUAUUAGUGGAGUAGAGGGAAAGAUCCAUGUUAGAGAUAGCUUAAGAUAGGGAUUAGAUGAAUUGAGGGCAAUGAUUAAAGAUACUGCUUGCAAGAAAACUGGCUGAGAAUGAGAGGAAAAUCUUAGUUGCUUGCGGGGAGGGGGUUUGUGGUUGUGAAAGAUAGUUUUGUUUAAUCUUAGUCUUAAAUUUAAAACCAAGUAGCAAGGAUCUAGCUGAGAGAAUAAUUGAAUACAUUAAUAUAGGAGAAGGACAGACAAAGAUCCUGAAAAGGCUGGGAGAAGAGCAUCCAAAGCACAGGUGGAGAGACAAAAAGGUUAGGGCUGCUGGCAGCUGUGGAGAGAACUGUACGUGGUAAGGGGGAGAUAUAAGAUGUCCUGCAUAAGUAUUUUCCCUGUAGAUUGCAAAGUUAUCUAUGGAGAGGAAAGGUCCAAAAUAGUCACUGGGGAGAGCAGGUGAAUUAGAUGGCCAAGCAGGGUGGAUGGAUCAUUUGAGGUUUGGGGUGACAGAUCAACUGAGAUCCACUUAGACUUCUGAAAACGCAAGAACACUUUAGAAAUUAACAACACUUAAAGCUUUUUACAUCAUUUGUAAAUAACUGGUGGAACUUAACACCACAAAAUACAGUAUUAUAAAGAACUUUAUAGGAAUAAAAAUAUAUGCAGUCUGAAA